GACGAACGCUGGCUGCGGGCUUAACACAUGCAAGUCGAAGGGAAAGGCCCUGCUUUUCUUGGUUUCGCUAGGGGCGAACGGGUGAGUAACACGUUAAUACCCUUCCCUUCACUUUGGGAUAACGUCAGGAAACUGCGGCUAUUACCGUAUUGGAGCUCCUGCUGCAUGGUAGGCAUCGGAAAGUUACGGCGGUUGGGGAUGGGCUCGCGGCUGAUGCGCCUGUUGGUGGAGUAGUCGAUGAGCAAGGCUUUGAAGGGUACCCGGCCUGAGAGGGUAACCGGGAACCUUGGGAAUGAGAUACGGCCGAGAGUCGUAAGGGAGGCAGGAGUGGGGAAUAUUGCACAAUGGGCCGAAGUAUGAUGCAGGAACGCCGCGUGAGGGAUGAUGGCCUUCGGGUAGUAAACAGCUAUCGCCUGUGACGAAGCGUGAGUGACGGUACUGGGUAAAGAAGCACCGGCUAACUACGUG
rnacentral:rRNA from 1 species